GACGUAGGGGGCGAGCGUUGUCCGGAUUUAUUGGGCGUAAAGCGUGCGUAGGCGGCUGCGCAAGUCGGGUGUGGAACCCCGGGGCUCAACCCCGGAACUGCAUCCGAUACUGCGUGGCUAGAGGUAGGUAGGGGAGAUCGGAAUUCCUGGUGUAGCGGUGAAAUGCGCAGAUAUCAGGAAGAACACCCGUGGCGAAGGCGGCUCUCUGGGACGGUACUGACGCUGAGACGCGAAAGCGUGGGAAGCAAACAGG
rnacentral:rRNA from 1 species